GAUGAACGCUGGCGGCGUGCUUAACACAUGCAAGUCGAACGAUGAGGCCCAGCUUGCUGGGUGGGUUAGUGGCGAACGGGUGAGUAACACGUGAGUAACCUGCCCUUAACUCUGGGAUAAGCCUGGGAAACUGGGUCUAAUACCGGAUAGGAGCGUCCACCGCAUGGUGGGUGUUGGAAAGAUUUAUCGGUUUUGGAUGGACUCGCGGCCUAUCAGCUUGUUGGUGAGGUAAUGGCUCACCAAGGCGACGACGGGUAGCCGGCCUGAGAGGGUGACCGGCCACACUGGGACUGAGACACGGCCCAGACUCCUACGGGAGGCAGCAGUGGGGAAUAUUGCACAAUGGGCGCAAGCCUGAUGCAGCGACGCCGCGUGAGGGAUGACGGCCUUCGGGUUGUAAACCUCUUUCAGUAGGGAAGAAGCGAAAGUGACGGUACCUGCAGAAGAAGCACCGGCUAACUACGUG
rnacentral:rRNA from 1 species